UACGUAGGGUGCGAGCGUUAAUCGGAAUUACUGGGCGUAAAGCGUGCGCAGGCGGUGAUGUAAGACAGGUGUGAAAUCCCCGGGCUUAACCUCGGGAACUGCAUUUGUGACUGCAUCGCUGGAGUGCGGCAGAGGGGGAUGGAAUUCCGCGUGUAGCAGUGAAAUGCGUAGAUAUGCGGAGGAACACCGAUGGCGAAGGCAAUCCCCUGGGCCUGCACUGACGCUCAUGCACGAAAGCGUGGGGAGC
rnacentral:rRNA from 1 species